CAGAGGGUGCGAGCGUUGUUCGGAAUUAUUGGGCGUAAAGGGCGCGUAGGCGGUGCGGUAAGUCACCUGUGAAAUCUCCUGGCUCAACUGGGAGCUUGCAGGCGAAACUGCCGCGCUGGAGUGUGGGAGAGGUGCGUGGAAUUCCCGGUGUAGCGGUGAAAUGCGUAGAGAUCGGGAGGAACAUCAGUGGCGAAGGCGGCCCUCUGGACCAGCACUGACGCUGAGGCACGAAAGCGUGGGGAGCAAACAGGAUUAGAUACCCUGGUAGUCCACGCCCUAAACGAUGCGGACUGGACGUUGGGCACAAUUCGGUGCUCAGUGUCGAAGCUAACGCGUUAAGUCCGCCGCCUGGGGAGUACGCUCGCAAGAGUG
rnacentral:rRNA from 1 species